rnacentral:rRNA from 1 species
GAUGAACGCUGGCGGCGUGCCUAAUACAUGCAAGUCGAGCGAACAGACUAGUAGCUUGCUCCUCUGACGUUAUCGGCGGACGUGUUAUUAACACGUUGAUAACCUACCUAUAAUACUUGUAUAACUUCGGGAAACCGUAUCUAAUACCGGAUAAUAUAUUUAACCUCAUGGUUCAAUAGUUAAAGACGGUUUUGCUGUCUCUUAUAGAUGUAUCCGCGCCGCAUUAGCUAGUUGGUAAGGUAACGGCUUAACAAGGCAACGAUGCGUAGCCGACCUGAGAGGGUGAUCGGCCACACUGGAACUGAGACACGGUCAAGACUCCUACGGGAGGCAGCAGUAGGGAAUCUUCCGCAAUGGGCGAAAGCCUGACGGAGAAAAGCCGCGUGAGUGAUGAAGGUCUUCGGAUCGUAAAACUCUGUUAUUAGGGAAGAACAAAUGUGUAAGUAACUAUGCACGUCUUGACGGUACCUAAUCAGAAAGCCACGGCUAACUACGUG